GCCUCAGAUCCACCUUUUGCCAUAACAAAAGGACGGUGGUAUCCAAUCAGAGUUGAGAUCGUUGUAGGCGGGUCCGGGAAGAGCAACAGCCAAUGACAGUACAUUAGCUAAGGUUAUUGAAUUCAUUGGAGAAUGAGUGUUGUCCUGAAUUUGUUAUUUCAAGGGAAACAAACGGGACAGAGAGGACCAAAUGUCUCAUAAGAUGAUGGUGCGAUGCCUGUCAGUCAAAAAGGAAGCAAACUACACUAGCUGGCAUUGAAGAAACGUGAAUAGAUGUCAAUGGCAUAGUCAGAGUAAACACAUUUUUAAAUACAUCAUUAUAUUUUGUAGCUCCUCCCACCCUCUCUUUUUUGCUAUGUCAUCAAACUUUGCAACAAUCAGAAAGCAGAAUGACCCUGUCUGUAGUUUGUUUUGAAAACAAAUGGUUAAAAUUAUUAAUUGCCAGGGUAAUUAGUAACACUUAUCACAGUAAAAGCAGAUCAAGGGUUCCUCAACUUGAAGCAGAGAUUUGGCCAACCCCCUUUCUUCUUCUUCUCUAAUGAGGGAAGAAAACAAGAGAAUGUCUUGCUGCUAAGGGACAGGCGCUUUGCCCGUCCUCCUCAGAUAUGCCCUUAAAGCUGCCGAAGAAAUAACUCCUCAAGUUAUCGAAAGAGCUGAAUAACUUGACAGAACCCAAAAGUUCCUUUCUGCUCAUCCUUGAUGGUAGAAUUGUGAGUUCUGGCAGACUGAAGUAGGUUUUUUGUAUGUACCACAUGAAGCAAGGUUAUGAGAAAAUAGGAUGUAAAUUUCAUUUGGG